rnacentral:rRNA from 1 species
UGAGGCUAUUACCGCAUACGUCCCUUUUGCGUGGAGUGAGGGGGAGAAAGAUUUAUUGCUCUAGGAGGGGCUCGCGUCGGAUUAGGUAGUUGGUGGGGUAAAGGCUUACCAAGCUGAUGAUCCGUAGCUGGUCUGAGAGGACGAUCAGCCACACUGGAACUGAGACACGGUCCAGACUCCUACGGGAGGCAGCAGUGGGGAAUCUUGGACAAUGGGCGCAAGCCUGAUCCAGCCAUGCCGCGUGAGUGAAGAAGGCCUUAGGGUUGUAAAGCUCUUUCAGCGGGGAAGAUGAUGACGGUACCCGCAGAAGAAGCCCCGGCUAACUUCGUGCCAGCAGCCGCGGUAAUACGAAGGGGGCUAGCGUUGUUCGGAAUCACUGGGCGUAAAGGGCGCGUAGGCGGCUUGGCAAGUGGAGGGUGAAAUCCCCGGGCUCAACCCGGGAACUGCCUUCCAAACUGCCAGGCUUGAGUGCGAGAGAGGGUGGCGGAAUUCCCAGUGGAGAGGUGGAAUUCGUAGAGAUUGGGAAGAACACCGGUGGCGAAGGCGGCCGCCUGGCUCGCAACUGACGCUGAGGCGCGAAAGCGUGGGUAGCAAACAGGAUUAGAUACCCUGGUAGUCCACGCCGUAAACGAUGUGUGCCAGCUGUCGGGGCGCGUAGCGCUUCGGUGGCGCAGCUAACGCCUUGAGCACACCGCCUGGGGAGUACGGCCGCAAGGCUAAAACUCAAAGGAAUUGACGGGGGCCCGCACAAGCGGUGGAGCAUGUGGUUUAAUUCGAUGCUACGCGAAGAACCUUACCAGCUCUUGAAGUGCCAGAUUUCGCUUUGCAGAGAUGCAUCGCUUCGGUUCGGCCGGGUUUGGCAAAGGUGCUGCAUGGCUGUCGUCAGCUCGUGUCGUGAGAUGUUGGGUUAAGUCCCGCAACGAGCGCAACCCUUAUUUCUAGUUCAUAUGUCUAGAAAGACUACCGGCGAUAAGCCGGGGGAAGGUGAGGAUGACGUCAAGUCAGCAUGGCCCUUAUGCUUGGGGCGACACACGUGCUACAAUGGCCGGUACAAAAGGCAGCGAAACCGCGAGGUGAAGCAAAUCCCCAAAACCGGUCUCAGUUCGGAUUGUAGUCUGCAACUCGACUACAUGAAGUCGGAAUUGCUAGUAAUGGCGCGUCAGCCAUAGCGCCGUGAAUACGUUCC